CCUAUGGGUGGCAGCAGUGGGGAAUAUUGGACAAUGGGCGAAAGCCUGAUCCAGCCAUGCCGCGUGUGUGAAGAAGGCCUUCGGGUUGUAAAGCACUUUCAGUGGGGAAGAAAGCCUUGGGGCUAAUACCCUCGAGGAAGGACAUCACCCACAGAAGAAGCACCGGCUAACUCCGUGCCAGCAGCCGCGGUAAUACGGAGGGUGCGAGCGUUAAUCGGAAUUACUGGGCGUAAAGCGCGCGUAGGCGGUCUGAUAAGCCGGUUGUGAAAGCCCCGGGCUCAACCUGGGAACGGCAUCCGGAACUGUCAGGCUAGAGUGCAGGAGAGGAAGGUAGAAUUCCCGGUAUAGCAGUGAAAUGCGUAGAGAUCGGGAGGAAUACCAGUGGCGAAGGCGGCCUUCUGGACUGACACUGACGCUGAGGUGCGAAAGCGUGGGUAGCAAACAGGAUUAGAUACCCUAGUAGUC
rnacentral:rRNA from 1 species